rnacentral:rRNA from 1 species
UAUGUGAUCGUCUCUCGCAUAUCAAUAAGCGGAGGAAAAGAAACUAACAAGGAUUCCCCUAGUAACGGCGAGUGAAGCGGGAAGAGCUCAAAUUUGAAAUCUUAAAGGGUUUCCCUUUACGAAUUGUAGUUUAAAGAAGUGUUUUCUGUUGAGGUUUUGGUAAAAGUUCUUUGGAAUAGGACAUCAUAGAGGGUGAGAAUCCCGUAUUUGACCUUUACUUUCAACUUUGUGAUACACUUUCAAAGAGUCGGAUUGUUUGGGAAUGCAGUCCAAAAUGGGUGGUAAAUUUCAUCUAAAGCUAAAUAUUGGCGAGAGACCGAUAGCGAACAAGUACCGUGAGGGAAAGAUGAAAAGAACUUUGAAAAGAGAGUUAAACAGUACGUGAAAUUGUCAAAAGGGAAGCGUUUGACACCAGUGUUGUUUUUCUGAAAAUCAAUUAAAGAACUGUUUAUGCUAAGUUGUUUAGACUUUAUCAGCUAACUGUUUAGUUUUGAGCUUUUCUUUAAUGCACUUUUCAGUUAACAAGUCAACAUCAAUUUCUUUUGCUGUAAAAAAGCUUGAGGAAGGUGGCUUGAGAUUCGUCUUAAGUGUUUAUAGCCUCUUGCCUAUGCAGUCGGAGAGAUUGAGGUCUGCAGCGUAGAUCCUUCGGGGCUAAAUGCAUUUGUGCUAAGUUAUAGCAUUUUAUAGACAACUUGUUGACUAUGAUUUGUCUUGUAGCUUACUCGCUUAUGUUAUUUUACCUACGCUUAGGAUGUUGAGUAGCGACAUACGCAC